rnacentral:rRNA from 1 species
GGAGCACGCCGCGUGAGUGAUGAAGGUUUUCGGAUCGUAAAGCUCUGUUGUUAGGGAAGAACAAGUGCGAGAGUAACUGCUCGCACCUUGACGGUACCUAACCAGAAAGCCACGGCUAACUACGUGCCAGCAGCCGCGGUAAUACGUAGGUGGCAAGCGUUGUCCGGAAUUAUUGGGCGUAAAGGGCUCGCAGGCGGUUUCUUAAGUCUGAUGUGAAAGCCCCCGGCUCAACCGGGGAGGGUCAUUGGAAACUGGGAAACUUGAGUGCAGAAGAGGAGAGUGGAAUUCCACGUGUAGCGGUGAAAUGCGUAGAGAUGUGGAGGAACACCAGUGGCGAAGGCGACUCUCUGGUCUGUAACUGACGCUGAGGAGCGAAAGCGUGGGGAGCGAACAGGAUUAGAUACCCUGGUAGUCCACGCCGUAAACGAUGAGUGCUAAGUGUUAGGGGGUUUCCGCCCCUUAGUGCUGCAGCUAACGCAUUAAGCACUCCGCCUGGGGAGUACGGUCGCAAGACUGAAACUCAAAGGAAUUGACGGGGGCCCGCACAAGCGGUGGAGCAUGUGGUUUAAUUCGAAGCAACGCGAAGAACCUUACCAGGUCUUGACAUCCUCUGACAACCCUAGAGAUAGG